AAUCAACGCUGGCGGCGUGCCUAACACAUGCAAGUCGAACGGGAAAACAGGGGCAACUCUGUGAGUACAGUGGCGUACGGGUGAGUAACACGUGACUAACCUGCCCUUCGGUGGGGGAUAACCUCGGGAAACCGGGGCUAAUACCGCAUAACAUCGCCGGGAUGAGAAGCCGGAGAUCAAAGGAGCAAUUCGCGGAAGGAGGGGGUGGCGGCUGAUUAGCUAGUUGGCGGGGUAACGGCCCACCAAGGCGAUGAUCGGUAGCCGGCCUGAGAGGGCGCACGGCCACACUGGAACUGAAACACGGUCCAGACUCCUACGGGAGGCAGCAGUGGGGAAUUUUGCGAAAUGGGGGAAACCCUGACGCAGCAACGCCGCGUGGAGGAUGAAGUCCCUUGGGACGUAAACUCCUUUCGACCGGGACGAUAAUGACGGUACCGGUGGAAGAAGCCCCGGCUAACUUCGUGCCAGCCGCCGCAGUAAGAC
rnacentral:rRNA from 1 species